UUUUUUUUUUUUUAAAUGUGAGGUGAAACGGUGAGAAGAAAUGAAAUGCCUGGCACCAUCCCAACCCCCUGCUGACUGCCCACAGCGCAUGCAGAAACAGAGCAGCCCAUUUUCACAGCAUGAGACAGCUACGGCAACAAGAGCGUUCGGACAGGGGACGGAGACUGCAUUUUGAUACAAGUUGAGCUUCUUGUGUUAUCUCAGAAAUCUUAAGGUGCAGCACCUGGGCAGACCUGCAAACCAGACACAAACAAGACGUGAUUGUGCAGACAGUGCCAAGGACAACGGCAGUCCCAGAGCCAGGCAGGAGGAGACAGCAUACCAUUUUAAGGGGAUACAGACGAGAGCCUACAAGCAUUUGCUUGUUGCCUUUGGGGGACUUGUGAGGAUGAGACAAUUGCUCUCAGCAAAAGGAAUGGCAUUCGUGCAGCUGAUCCCCCUCCGCUCCUUCUGCAUUACUCACAGAGGGCCCUCACAGCCAGUGCAUCUGGAAUCUCUUUUCCCCUGCAUUCUUCCACAUGUCUGCAGCUAAGAAUAGUGUCUUUUCUCAGAAACAUAAAACUCUGAAGUGAGCUUUUAAAUAAAUGUUGGCCAUGUCAGGCUCUCCAGGACAGACAGCAUGGGCCAGGCAAUUUGAGCACCUGAUCCAGGGGUGGUCACAUAACUGUUUACAUGAAACAAGAAGCACAAAUGUGGCAGUCUCAAAAUUACUGUUUUCUAUGAAGACAAAAUGUUUGGGAGGAAAAUUUUUACAGGCUGCUGCUCAGACGUAGAAGCUGAUGUAAACUAGUAGUCAAUGAGGCUCUGCCAAUGUGAAAACAUCCUGGGGAAGAUGGCCUGUGACAAAGAGCCCUCUCUUUGUCUCUUCACAACACUGGAGCCUCCUGUGAGGGCCAGGUCUUGCCCCUGCAUUACUUUCCCUUCCUUGCAUUUUUGGCUGUAAAGAUUCAGUGCAGCUCACUCCGUUGGACGUCUUGCAGAAAAGCAUGCUUCUGAACUAACUUUUUCCACUGCAGAAAUACAGAAUGGUUUAAAGAACACUUGACAUGAACCCGGACUCUGAUCCCACCGAGCAGCUUCCUGGAGGAGCAACUUGAACUGGGUAGCUUGGGACAUUUCACUCAGAUUAACAGCACAGGAGCAUUUGAGCAUAAAGAACACACAAUUUGACUCUUCUGCUGAAAACCAGCAGCCAAAAUCCUUUCCAGACUCCCACAGCAGCCAAAGAAACCCAACUCCUUUUCAAACAAUGAUGGUGAAUAAAGGCUUGUUGAAUGGGGUGGCCAAAGAAAAGACAGUUGUGCCCAGACUCUCUAAACCUUGGACCAUCAGUGAACUGUUCAGAGAAACUGGGGGUACUUCAAUUUUAAAUUACUUGCAUAGGAUUGCUGUGAGUCUGUGGAAGCUUUCAACAUUUCUGCAACUAUGAGGAACGGGUUCAGCAGAGAAAUUUUAGAGAAAGACUGAAUUAAACAGGGCCCCAAAACGUAUGAACAGGCCAAUUUUAGCUCUGCAAGCUGCUAUGCCUGGAGAGAAAUAUCAAGAGGAUAAUUCCCUCCUCACUGAGAACACACAUCUGAGAAGCAAGGGACAAAACAUUCAGCAGGACCUCUGUGUUUUCUUUCUGCUUCUCCUGGAACUUUUGUCAUAAACGGCUACGCUGUGUUUAUAUUUGCUCCAGAACUUCCCUGUUACCAAAGUGAUAUUUUUAACUGCAAAGCAUCAAUGGUUUCCCUUUUCACCAUGGAGAAUAAAUCACUGAGCUCAAAACAAGCUGUUCCUGCAGCUUUUGUCUUUCUAGGGACUUGCUUUUUCUUUUUUCUCUCUGAGCAGUGGGGAAAUUCAUGCUGGGUUUUAUCUACUGCAGAGAAAACUAUGAACCAAAUGCAGUCUGUGUUUUCUCUUUCACCUUUCUCCCACAUUGUGUCUCCCCUCUUAUACAGCUCAGUCUCAAAAAUAUUUUGGUGAAACGAGACUGUCAUGUUCAACAGAUGACUGCCAGAAUAAAUCAGAGGAAGGUCGUGUACUCAAGAUAUAAUCACAUCAAGAAGGUUUAUGAGGUUCUUGGAAGAACUUCACCCCAGCAGAAGAGAUGUGUAAGCAAAAAACCUUUAUGCAUCAAUCCCUGGCAAGUAUAAAACAGCAGAGGGGUCCUCCCAGAGCCCAGGGAUUGCCAGCUCUUCUCCUGGAGGCCUACCUUGUUUUAUCUCUGCUUUCCUUCCCAGUUUUCUAAUGUGGACCCUGGCCGCAGAAAUUCUCCCAAGGAAAGAGGGGCAGCAACAAAUAAUGGUUGCAAACCAUUUAUGAGUCUGUGCACUGCUGCACCAUCGAGUAAAUCUUGACAAGGGAAAACCACCAAGAGGACCCCUAUGGAGGCCAUCUUUGGUGUUUCCCAUGUUGCUGGGAAACAGGUACCAAACGUAAUAAUCUCCUCCUGUUGCAGAGCAAAAAGGAGUAGAUUCCUCCUUUCUGUUGAUCCAGCAGCCAAAACAAAAGACAGCAUGUGCAUGUGUCUUGUUCAAGCAAUAUAACCAAGUGCAAGCAACAGGACUGGCACUGCUUAAUGGGGCAGUGGUUUUACCAUUUGUAAGACGAAUGACACAUUUCCAAGUUCUUGAAAUGCAGAGUGCUUUUUUUUGUUUUUAUAA